AUAUCAUAGCGAGAAAAGAAACCACAGGGAUUGCCCUAGUAACGGCGAGUGAAGCGGCAACAGCUCAAAUUUGAAAGCUGGCCUUCGGGUCCGCAUUGUAAUUUGUAGAGGAUGCUUUGGGGCAGCCGCCUGUCUAAGUUCCUUGGAACAGGACGUCAUAGAGGGUGAGAAUCCCGUAUGUGACAGGACAUGGCACCCUAUGUAAAGCUCCUUCGACGAGUCGAGUUGUUUGGGAAUGCAGCUCUAAAUGGGAGGUAAAUUUCUUCUAAAGCUAAAUAUUGGCGAGAGACCGAUAGCGCACAAGUAGAGUGAUCGAAAGAUGAAAAGCACUUUGGAAAGAGAGUUAAAAAGCACGUGAAAUUGUUGAAAGGGAAGCGCUUGCAAUCAGACUUGUUCAAACCGUUCGGCCGGUCUUCUGACCGGUUUACUCGGUUUGGACAGGCCAGCAUCAGUUUCGGCGGCCGGAUAAAGGCUCUGGGAAUGUGGCCUCCACUUCGGUGGAGGUGUUAUAGCCCGGGGUGUAAUACGGCCAGCCGGGACUGAGGUCCGCGCUUCGGCUAGGAUGCUGGCGUAAUGGUUGUAAGCGACCCGUCUUGAAACACGGACCAAGGAGUCUAACAUCUAUGCGAGUGUUCGGGUGUCAAACCCCUGCGCGUAAUGAAAGUGAACGGAGGUGGGAACCGCAAGGUGCACCAUCGACCGAUCCUGAUGUCUUCGGAUGGAUUUGAGUAAGAGCAUAGCUGUUGGGACCCGAAAGAUGGUGAACUAUGCCUGAAUAGGGUGAAGCCAGAGGAAACUCUGGUGGAGGCUCGCAGCGGUUCUGACGUGCAAAUCGAUCGUCAAAUUUGGGUAUAGGGGCGAAAGACUAAUCGACCAUCUAGUAGCUGCUCUGCC
rnacentral:rRNA from 1 species